GUCUCUGCGGCGCAAUCGGGUAGCGCGUUUGGCUGUUAACUGAAAGGUUGGUGGUUCAAGCCCACCCAGGGACG
rfam:Danio rerio chromosome 4, GRCz11 reference primary assembly.